CUGGGAAUCGAAACCUGACCUCCUGGUUCAUAGGUAAAUGCUCAAUCACUGAGCCAUGUCACAGGACUAUAUGUAUGUUUUAAAGCUAUUCAGAGGCUUCCAUUAUAACAUUACAUUACAACCAAACACUCAAAUAUUAGUAUCUGAUGCAUUGAGUCUUCAAUGAUGUCAUGAAGUCUUAUUAGUAUUAUUAUCAAACAAGAGAAAAUUACUUUAAAUAUUUUUAUGAUAAAACCAUAUGAGCUCAUUUAACAAAAUAUGCAAAGUUAAUUAAACUGCAUAGAAGAAAUAAAGCCAUCUAGUCCCUCAGUAAUAAUAAUUCUAACAGUUUUUGAGAAUUCCCUUCCCCCUUUUAUUCUUUUUCUAUCAAUACAGUUUUCUGGUUGAGAGGUUACUAUACACUCAUUAAUUUUUCCUUAUAUUAUAUUGUGAAUAUUUUUAAAUUUUACUAAUCAAUCCAUAAUCAUGAUUUUCAAUGUCUACAUAAUAGUCUAACCAUUGAGUGCAAUGUAUUUCUGGUGUCUCUAUCCCUGUUAUUCACCAUUUAGCCUGACAUAUAAAAAGCUGCUGGAGAGUUUUCUUCUCAGCUCUGAGCACAGGAGUGUCUCUCUGUCAGCACCUCACCACUGCUCUAGGAGGCCCUUUGGGGACUACAUGAGACAACCAUGUGAAGAAAGUAGCAGCGGGACAUCCUGCUGUCUGCCAGACUGUGUCACCAAGAAGGAGGCAGGAAAGUGAGGACUCAGGCUGUCCAGACUGAAAUGAUGGGGACAACUCACAGGCCCAGAGGGAGAGGAAGAUGACAGCUUCCAGUGGUGGCAUCCUGUGCACCAAGCAGCUCCCAGGGAGAAGAACAACAUAGAAAUCAGACACGGAAACACCUCAUCGACAUUAUUUAAGACACCAUAUGCAGAAGCAUGGAAGUACUUUUGUGCUUUUAUAAAUCAAUUGAGGUGUCAGCACACAGAUUAUGACUCAGGGCACCCAAAUUUCAUUUAUAAUCUGGGUGCCUCCAAGAAGGGACUGGACUGCAGUUGCUGGCUGAUAUGGGAGACAGAGCAAUUUGUAGAACUCAACCUCUCAUUUUUGGACCUUGGAGCUGCUUCCUGAACCAACAGGGCUGUGAGGUAGCUCUUAUGAUGAUGUCCAUUUGGCAUUGAGGACAGUGGCAAAGAGAAGUGACUCAUUCAAUGACCCAGAUCUGUGAGACAGGAGAAGUCAGAUAAGUAACAGUUGCUCAUUAAAGAAAGUCUGAGUAAAAUUAUAUUUAAAAAAUGACAGUAAAGGCACCCAUUUUAUACUUUGUAUUUCUCUACUUAUUUAUGAACUAGAGGCCCAAUGCAUGAAAUUUGUGCACAGGGUGGGUGGGGGAGGUGGCCCUCAGCCUAGCCUGCACCCUCUUGCA